rnacentral:rRNA from 1 species
GUGGGGAAUCUUGCGCAAUGGGCGAAAGCCUGACGCAGCCAUGCCGCGUGAAUGAUGAAGGUCUUAGGAUUGUAAAAUUCUUUCACCGGGGACGAUAAUGACGGUACCCGGAGAAGAAGCCCCGGCUAACUUCGUGCCAGCAGCCGCGGUAAUACGAAGGGGGCUAGCGUUGCUCGGAAUUACUGGGCGUAAAGGGCGCGUAGGCGGACAGUUUAGUCAGAGGUGAAAGCCCAGGGCUCAACCUUGGAAUUGCCUUUGAUACUGGCUGUCUUGAGUACGGGAGAGGUGAGUGGAACUCCGAGUGUAGAGGUGAAAUUCGUAGAUAUUCGGAAGAACACCAGUGGCGAAGGCGACUCACUGGCCCAAUACUGACGCUGAGGCGCGAAAGCGUGGGGAGCAAACAGGAUUAGAUACCCUUGUAGUCC